UUUAAAUGUAUUUGUAUUUCUAAAUUAGUAUUAGUUAUGUUCUUGAAAGUUAAAGAUUUUGGCGGUAUUUUAGUCUUUUCAGAGGAACCUGUCCUGUAAUUGAUAGUCCACGAUUAAUUAAACUUAUAUUAUAAAUUUGUAUAUCAUCGUGAAUGAAUAUUUUAAAAGAAAUUUAAUAUUCAAAAUUUUUUAUUAAAAAAUAAAUCAGAUCAAGGUGCAGUGAAUAUAUAAGAAGAGAUGGGUUACAAUAAUUUAAUUUAAAUGGAUAAAUAAAUGAAAUUUUAUUUUGAAAGUGGAUUUGAGAGUAAUUUUAAUUAUUUAAUUAAAAUGAUUUUAGCUCUAAAAUAUGC
rnacentral:rRNA from 1 species